AUAACUUCUACAUCUUGGUCUAGAUCAGAAAUGACAAGCAGGAGGAGCUCAAAAAAGCCUGAGGAGUCUUACAUGAACAGAAGCAGAGUGAAAUGAGUAGAACCUGGAGAAGAUGUACACACAGUGACAGUAUGGAAGGCACCAACAAUAUAAGCCAAUAAAGGUCCUGAGGAGUUUGGUGGGUCUCUACAAAUAAGAAGCACAAAGGCCGCUCUCAGGUAAAAAAAAAAAAUUAACUUUUGGCAGAUUUUGUUUUGCCAAUAAACAUGAAGUAGGCACAACA
rnacentral:lncRNA from 1 species